rnacentral:tRNA from 1 species
GGGGUAUUAGCUCAUUUGGUAGAGCGCUUCCAUGGCAUGGAAGAGGUGAGGAGUUCGAAUCUCCUAUACUCCACCA